GAGUAGUUAGCCUAGUGGUUAAGGCUAUGGAUCACCUAUUCGGAGGCAGCGGGUUCGAUUCCCGCUCCGGUCG
rnacentral:tRNA from 1 species